rnacentral:tRNA from 1 species
GGCUGGUUAGUUUAUUCGGUUCAAAACACUGGUCUUACAAACCGGAGAGUGCGGUUCGAAUCCGUGACCGGCUACCA